rnacentral:tRNA from 1 species
GCCCUGAUAGCUCAGUCGGUAGAGCAGAGGACUGAAAAUCCUCGUGUCGCUGGUUCGAUUCCGGCUCAGGGCACCA